CCUACGGGAGGCUGCAGUAGGGAAUAUUGCUCAAUGGGGGAAACCCUGAUGCAGCGACGCCGCGUGAGUGAAGAAGGCUUUCGGUAUGGAAAGCUCUAUCUGCAGGGAAGAAAAAAGACGUCACCUGACUAAUAAGCCCCUGCUAACUACGUGCCAGCAGCCGCGUUAAUACGUAGGGGGCAAGCGUUAUCCGGAUUUACUGGGUGUAAAGGGAGCGUAGACGGCAAUACAAGUCGGAAGUGAAAUACCCGGGCUCAACCUGGGAACUGCAUUGGAAACUGUAUGGCUGGAGUGCUGGAGAGGUAAGCGGAAUUCCUAGUGUAGCGGUGAAAUGCGUAGAUAUUAGGAAGAACACCAGUGGCGAAGGCGGCUUACUGGACAGUAACUGACGUUGAGGCUCGAAAGCGUGGGGAGCAAACAGGAUUAGAUACCCGAGUAGUC
rnacentral:rRNA from 1 species